rnacentral:rRNA from 1 species
UACGAAGGGGGCUAGCGUUGUUUGGAAUCACUGGGCGUAAAGGGCGCGUAGGCGGCUUUAUAAGUCGGGGGUGAAAGCCUGUGGCUCAACCACAGAAUUGCCUUCGAUACUGUAGAGCUUGAGACCGGAAGAGGUUAGUGGAACUGCGAGUGUAGAGGUGAAAUUCGUAGAUAUUCGCAAGAACACCAGUGGCGAAGGCGGCUGACUGGUCCGGAUCUGACGCUGAGGCGCGAAAGCGUGGGGAGCAAACAGG